rnacentral:rRNA from 1 species
UAGCGAAGGGGGCUAGCGUUGCUCGGAAUCACUGGGCGUAAAGGGUGCGUAGGCGGGUCUUUAAGUCAGGGGUGAAAUCCUGGAGCUCAACUCCAGAACUGCCUUUGAUACUGAAGAUCUUGAGUUCGGGAGAGGUGAGUGGAACUGCGAGUGUAGAGGUGAAAUUCGUAGAUAUUCGCAAGAACACCAGUGGCGAAGGCGGCUCACUGGCCCGAUACUGACGCUGAUGCACGAAAGCGUGGGGAGCAAACAGG